rnacentral:rRNA from 1 species
GGGCCCGCACAAGCGGUGGAGUAUGUGGUUUAAUUCGAUGCAACGCGAAGAACCUUACCAGGGUUUGACAUCCUGCGAAUCUCUUGGAAACGAGAGAGUGCCUUCGGGAACGCAGUGACAGGUGCUGCACGGCUGUCGUCAGCUCGUGUUGUGAAAUGUUGGGGUUAAGUCCCGCAACGAGCGCAACCCCCUAUUGAUAGUUACCCAUCAUUAAGUUGGGGUACUCUAUUGAGACUGCCGCUGACAAGGCGGAGGAAGGUGGGGACGACGUCAAGUCAUCAUGGCCCUUACGACCAGGGGCUACACACGUGCUACAAUGGCUAGGACAGACGGCUGCAAACCAGCGAUGGGGAG